GACGUAGGGGGCGAGCGUUAUCCGGAUUUACUGGGCGUAAAGGGCGCGUAGGCGGAGCGUUUCGCCACCUUUGAAAGGAGCAGGCUUAACCUGUUCAGGGAGGUGGAACGAGCGUUCUAGGGGCAAGCAGAGGAAGGUGGAAUUCCGGGUGGAGUGGUGAAAUGCGUAGAGAUCCGGAGGAACACCAGGGGCGAAGGCGGCCUUCUGGGCUUGACCCGACGCUGAGGCGCGAAAGCGUGGGGAGCGAACUGA
rnacentral:rRNA from 1 species